rnacentral:rRNA from 1 species
UACGUAGGGACCAAGCGUUGUUCGGAUUUACUGGGCGUAAAGGGCGCGUAGGCGGCGCGGUAAGUCACUUGUGAAAUCUCUGAGCUUAACUCAGAACGGCCAAGUGAUACUGCAGUGCUAGAGUGUGGAAGGGGCAAUCGGAAUUCUUGAUGUAGCGGUGAAAUGCGUAGAUAUCAAGAGGAACACCUGAGGUGAAGACGGGUUGCUGGGCCAACACUGACGCUGAGGCGCGAAAGCGUGGGGAGCGAACAGG